rnacentral:rRNA from 1 species
UAGGGAAUCUUCGGCAAUGGGGGGAACCCUGACCGAGCAACGCCGCGUGAGUGAAGAAGGUUUUCGGAUCGUAAAGCUCUGUUGUUAAGGAAGAACGAGUGUGAGAAUGGAAAGUUCAUGCUGUGACGGUACUUAACCAGAAAGGGACGGCUAACUACGUGCCAGCAGCCGCGGUAAUACGUAGGUCCCGAGCGUUGUCCGGAUUUAUUGGGCGUAAAGCGAGCGCAGGCGGUUAGAAAAGUCUGAAGGGAAAGGCAGUGGCUCAACCAUUGUAGGCUUUGGAAACUGUUUAACUUGAGUGCAGAAGGGAAGAGUGGAAUUCCAUGUGUAGCGGUGAAAUGCGUAGAUAUAUGGAGGAACACCGGUGGCGAAAGCGGCUCUCUGGUCUGUAACUGACGCUGAGGCUCGAAAGCGUGGGGAGCGAACAGG